UCUCUCUCUCUUCUGCCUUCUCCCUGCUGCCGCUGACCUCUCUCGCCCUCUCAGAGCGGUUUGGCAGGAUACUGGUGGACACGGUGGGAACAGACAAACUGAAGACCUGGGUGAAGGCGAACAGAGGAGCCAUGGUUCUCUGCAGCCUCCUGAACAGCUGCGACAAGUCGGUGGCUGCGGAGGUGAAGGCGGCGCUGAAGCCCAUCACGUCAGAGCUCAGCAGCAUCAGCAACAACAAAGGGGCUGAAAUCCUGUUGGAGAACCUGAACAAGUAGAGACUUUGAAUUUCAAACAAACUGCUCACGUGACACGUCCUGUUCAGCCGAGCCCGACAAGACUGUGUCGAUGGGAACGUUUUGAGGGACGUGGACACAACCUGGAACACAGACGACAACUUCUCUGUCGCUCACCAACCUUUUGGUAUCGUCUCCGGUCAAUCACAGCCAGAAUAUGGACAAGUUCAUGUUUUAACCUGAAGUCUGGGUAGUUUGGAUAAACUGGUCCUUCAACUAGGACUAGUUAACGAGCAGUUCAGUCAAUGAUGAUAACUUCCUGUCCACUGAUCCUCAUCCAUCCUGUUUGGUUUUGUUUUUGUUUUUUAUCUUUAAAUAUUUUCAUGAUUGUAUCAGAUGAAAAAUGCAAAAUAAAGAUUAUUAAUUAAACAGUUUAAACCA